rnacentral:rRNA from 1 species
UACGGAGGGUGCAAGCGUUAAUCGGAAUUACUGGGCGUAAAGCGUGCGCAGGCGGUCCGCUAAGACAGAUGUGAAAUCCCCGGGCUUAACCUGGGAACUGCAUUUGUGACUGGCGGCUAGAGUAUGGCAGAGGGGGUAGAAUUCCACGUGUAGCAGUGAAAUGCGUAGAGAUGUGGAGGAAUACCGAUGGCGAAGGCAGCCCCCUGGGCCAAUACUGACGCUCAUGCACGAAGCGUGGGGAGCAAACAGG